UACGUAGGGUGCAAGCGUUGUCCGGAAUUAUUGGGCGUAAAGAGCUCGUAGGCGGUCUGUCGCGUCGGCUGUGAAAUCCCGAGGCUCAACCUCGGGUCUGCAGUCGAUACGGGCAAACUAGAGUAUUGCAGGGGAGACUGGAAUUCCUGGUGUAGCGGUGAAAUGCGCAGAUAUCAAGAGGAACACCUGCGGCGAAGGCGGGUUGCUGGGCCGACACUGACGCUGAUGCGCGAAAGCUAGGGGAGCGAACGGG
rnacentral:rRNA from 1 species